UACGUAGGGGGCAAGCGUUGUCCGGAAUCAUUGGGCGUAAAGAGCUCGUAGGCGGCUUGUCACGUCGGGUGUGAAAGCCCGGGGCUUAACCCCGGGUCUGCAUUCGAUACGGGCAGGCUAGAGUGUGGUAGGGGAGAUCGGAAUUCCUGGUGUAGCAGUGAAAUGCGCAGAUAUCAGGAGGAACACCGGUGGCGAAGGCGGAUCUCUGGGCCAUUACUGACGCUGAGGAGCGAAAGCGUGGGGAGCGAACAGG
rnacentral:rRNA from 1 species